rnacentral:lncRNA from 1 species
UAUUACCAUGUUAGCAGAAACUAUAUUUAGUCAAGCCAUGAUCUAGCACAUAUACAAUCUAGCCGACCAUAUAGGCGGCAAAAACUGAAAAUAAAGUAAUAACAAAAUUUAAAUACAGAAAAUUAAAAUACUUACAAGGAUAAAGAAAACCAGCAGCAAGCUUUUAUUUAUAAAACACAAGGUUUUUACAAAAGAGUGGUUUGGGAGAGAGGAGAAAAGGCAGAAAAACUGAAUGUCUUUCCAAAAU